rnacentral:rRNA from 1 species
GGCUCAGGACGAACGCUGGCGGCGUGCCUAACACAUGCAAGUCGAGCGGAGCCAUCCGAAAGAUCCCUCGGGUGAUUUGGGGAAGCUAGCGGCGGACGGGUGAGUAACGCGUGAGUAACCUGCCCAUUAGUGGGGAAUAACACAGAGAAAUUUGUGCUAAUACCGCAUACCGAUAGAGGAUGGCAUCUUCUUCUAUUGAAAGAUUUAUCGCUAAUGGAUGGACUCGCGUCCGAUUAGAUAGUAGGCGGGGUAACGGCCCACCUAGUCAACGAUCGGUAGCCGAACUGAGAGGUUGAUCGGCCACAUUGGGACUGAGACACGGCCCAGACUCCUACGGGAGGCAGCAGUGGGGGAUAUUGCGCAAUGGGGGAAACCCUGACGCCAGCAACGCCGCGUGCAGGAAGACGGCCUUCGGGUUGUAAACUGUUGUCGCAAGGGAAGAAGAAAGUGACGGUACCUUGUGAGAAAGCCACGGCUAACUACGUGCCAGCAGCAGC